UACGAAGGGGGGCUAGCGUUGCUCGGAAUCACUGGGCGUAAAGGGUGCGUAGGCGGGUCUUUAAGUCAGGGGUGAAAUCCUGGAGCUCAACUCCAGAAUUGCCUUUGAUACUGGAGAUCUUGAGUUCGGGAGAGGUGAGUGGAACUGCGAGUGUAGAGGUGAAAUUCGUAGAUAUUCGCAAGAACACCAGUGGCGAAGGCGGCUCACUGGCCCGAUACUGACGCUGAGGCACGAAAGCGUGGGGAGCAAACAGG
rnacentral:rRNA from 1 species